UAAGGAAAGCCGUUUGCACAGAAGAUGAGCA
rnacentral:piRNA from 1 species